AAAUAACCUUUAAUUUUUCAUUGUAAAACAAAAUGAUACAAAAAUUAGCAAAAAAAGCUAAAUUCAAAUUUUUCGCAAAAACCGCUUUAAAUUUAUGUCGCCAUCUAUUGAAUGUAAAUGAGAUGUCCAAGUGUUAUUUCCCGGUUAAGUGAAAAUGGGUUUACCAUUUUUAUUGAUUAUUAGGCGAUUUUGAUUAAUAACUACUUCCAUUUUCAACAGUUAUCUAGUUUAAUCAUUAAUUCUUACUUCCAUCCUUAAUUGAAACCUCUACAGUUUAUUUUUAUAGUCUGUUACACUAUUUGUUAAUCAUUUGUUGGUGGUCAAUCAAAAGAUACUCUUGCUUAGUAACAAUCAAGAUUUACUUCAACUUUGACCAGGAAUCAAAUUUAUGUUCAAUUAAACAUGGUAACCUAAACAAUUUCAUCCAUCCUCUGAAUUUUCAAACACUGACUGUUAAACCCAUUUUGGUGUAUUUUUCCUUCUCAUGUAAUUUUGGGUUCAUGCUAUCAAUGGUUUACAUUAUCAAAGACAAGUGAUGUGGAUAAAAAACAUGAAGGACUACAAAGAAAGGAUGACAAUAAAGACGACAAUGGAGACGAUAAAGAUGAAAUGCUGAUGGAAACAAGGAAACACCAAGAAUUGGAAGCACUUGAAACAUGUUAAUCUACGGAAUGGGACGAGAAGGGUGGUGAUAAUGAGAAAGUUUAAUACAAUGGUUUCAAGUUGCUCAUUAACUUUUAAAGUAACAUCAAUCCAUUUGAAUUAUUGCUGUUUGAAGUUCAUUGUCUAUUAUUGACAUGAAGAUAAUAACAAUAAUUGAUUGAUACAUAAACGAAACAUCAAUAGAGAGUUUGUUGUAGUCAAACUUGAUCAACAACCAAUUCCUUUAACUCAGCUGUAUUUUGUUCAAUUGAAAUGGUAAUCAUUAUGAUUAAGUGUUUGCUUUCAAUGUUGCAUUAGGAACAAUGAAAUGUAAACUAGGAAACACAGAAACCAGUAAAUGACGAAAAAAUUAUUUCAUAAAAUUAAGAAAAUUAAAAAAUUUUUUACUUCUAAUUGAAACCAACGGCAAUAAAAGCCUCGUUAACGUCAGUCAAUGUAAACAGAAUUUAUUUUCAAUUAAUGAAAGCAAACAUUAAUCAUCCUGAAUGACAAUUUGUUAAUUUCCUGGUCUUUCUGGUUACAAAGUAAACUGGUGAAACCACAAAAUAUCUCUGAUUUUCUCUGGUUAUUCAAAACCAGAAAAUCUAAACCCAAAUACUAUUCAAUGUAAAUCAAGAUUUGUUGUUGUAAUGGUUGACCAAAAUAAUGACAGAAAUAAGAGGAUAAAGAUGAUCUUUGGUUACCUAUUCCAACCUAAUCAGGAUAAGGUUGGUGUUAUCCAAAGGAGAGCAAAAAAUCAAUAUUAACCUUUUCAGAUUCAUUUCUUAAAUGAUUAAUGUAAACUUUUUCAGAUUCA